rnacentral:lncRNA from 10 species
GGUCAGGUGGGGACAGCACUCGAAGGGAAAAAGAAAACAUUAGCAGCCAAAUUAGCCAGUCUGCCUGUGGAAUGAAGGCUCCAGUUUUUGACCUCUAAUGAAAGAAGAAAGAAUACUCAUUGAGGGUUUCAGCUGCUUGGGGCCAUUUAGGCAUGGAUUUUCUUCUGCCUCUGCCACCUGGAGACAGGAAGACCAACCCCUCCUGCCCUCCUCCUCCCUAGCCUAGCCAAUGUGAAGAUGACAAGAAUGAAGACGUUUAUGAUGAUCCACUUCCACUUGAUGAACAGUAAAUAUAUUUUAUCUUCC